CUUCUUUUUCCACCGGAGCUUGCUCCACCGGAAAAAGAGGAGUGGCGAACGGGUGAGUAACACGUGGGUAACCUGCCCAUCAGAAGGGGAUAACACUUGGAAACAGGUGCUAAUACCGUAUAACAAUCGAAACCGCAUGGUUUUGAUUUGAAAGGCGCUUUCGGGUGUCGCUGAUGGAUGGACCCGCGGUGCAUUAGCUAGUUGGUGAGGUAACGGCUCACCAAGGCCACGAUGCAUAGCCGACCUGAGAGGGUGAUCGGCCACAUUGGGACUGAGACACGGCCCAAACUCCUACGGGAGGCAGCAGUAGGGAAUCUUCGGCAAUGGACGAAAGUCUGACCGAGCAACGCCGCGUGAGUGAAGAAGGUUUUCGGAUCGUAAAACUCUGUUGUUAGAGAAGAACAAGGAUGAGAGUAACUGUUCAUCCCUUGACGGUAUCUAACCAGAAAGCCACGGCUAACUACGUGCCAGCAGCCGCGGUAAUACGUAGGUGGCAAGCGUUGUCCGGAUUUAUUGGGCGUAAAGCGAGCGCAAGCGGUUUCUUAAGUCUGAUGUGAAAGCCCCCGGCUCAACCGGGGAGGGUCAUUGGAAACUGGGAGACUUGAGUGCAGAAGAGGAGAGUGGAAUUCCAUGUGUAGCGGUGAAAUGCGUAGAU
rnacentral:rRNA from 1 species